rnacentral:rRNA from 1 species
GAAGCGGCAACAGCUCAAAUUUGAAAUCUGACCCUUUGGGGUCCGAGUUGUAAUUUGCAGAGGGUGUUUCGGGCACGGUGCCGGUUUAAGUCCUUUGGAACAGGGCGUCAUAGAGGGUGAGAACCCCGUAUGUGACCGGUCGCCAAACCCAUGUGAAACCCCUUCGACGAGUCGAGUUGUUUGGGAAUGCAGCUCAAAAUGGGUGGUAAAUUUCAUCUAAAGCUAAAUAUUGGCCAGAGACCGAUAGCGCACAAGUAGAGUGAUCGAAAGAUGAAAAGCACUUUGGAAAGAGAGUCAAACAGCACGUGAAAUUGUUGAAAGGGAAGCGCUUGCGACCAGACCUGCUCGCGGGUGAUCAGCGGUGCUUUUCGCGCCGUGCACUCAUCCGCGAUCAGGCCAGCAUCGGUUCAGGCGGCCGGAUAAAGACUCGGAGAAUGUAGCUCCCUCCGGGGAGUGUUAUAGCUCCUUGUGCAAUACGGCCAGCCGGGACCGAGGACCGCGCUUCGGCUAGGAUGCUGGCGUAAUGGUCGUAAGCGACCCGUCUUGAAACACGGACCAAGGAGUCUAACAUCUGUGCGAGUGUUUGGGCGUCAAACCCAUGCGCGCAAUGAAAGUGAACGUGAGGUGGGAACCCUUUCGGGGGCGCACCAUCGACCGAUCCAGAUGUCUUCGGAUGGAUUUGAGUAAGAGCACAGCUGUUGGGACCCGAAAGAUGGUGAACUAUGCCUGAAUAGGGUGAAGCCAGAGGAAACUCUGGUGGAGGCUCGCAGCGGUUCUGACGUGCAAAUCGAUCGUCAAAUUUGGGUAUAGGGGCGAAAGACUAAUCGA